UACGUAGGGGGCAAGCGUUGUCCGGAAUCAUUGGGCGUAAAGCGCGUGUAGGCGGCCCGAUAAGUCCGCUGUGAAAGUCCAGGGCUCAACCCUGGAAUGCCGGUGGAUACUGUCGGGCUCGGACGUCCGGAAGAGGCGAGUGGAAUUCCUGGUGUAGCGGUGAAAUGCGCAGAUAUCAGGAGGAACACCAAUGGCGAAGGCAGCUCGCUGGGACGGUACUGACGCUGAGACGCGAAAGCGUGGGGAGCAAACAGG
rnacentral:rRNA from 1 species